UGGGGAAUUUUGGACAAUGGGGGCAACCCUGAUCCAGCAAUGCCGCGUGUGUGAAGAAGGCCUUCGGGUUGUAAAGCACUUUUGUCCGGGAAGAAAUCCUUUUCGAUAAUACCGAAGGGGGAUGACGGUACCGGAAGAAUAAGCACCGGCUAACUACGUGCCAGCAGCCGCGGUAAUACGUAGGGUGCGAGCGUUAAUCGGAAUUACUGGGCGUAAAGCGUGCGCAGGCGGUGAUGUAAGACCGAUGUGAAAUCCCCGGGCUUAACCUGGGAACUGCAGUGGUGACUGCAUCGCUGGAGUAUGGCAGAGGGGGGUAGAAUUCCACGUGUAGCAGUGAAAUGCGUAGAGAUGUGGAGGAAUACCGAUGGCGAAGGCAGCCCCCUGGGCCAAUACUGACGCUCAUGCACGAAAGCGUGGGGAGCAAACAGG
rnacentral:rRNA from 1 species